CCUACGGGGGGCAGCAGUGGGGAAUAUUGGGCAAUGGAGGCAACUCUGACCCAGCAACGCCGCGUGAAUGAUGAAGGUCUUCGGAUUGUAAAGUUCUGUGAUGGGGGAUGAACACAAUGACGGUACCCCAAUAGCAAGCCACGGCUAACUACGUGCCAGCAGCCGCGGGAAUACGUAGGUGGCAAGCGUUAUCCGGAAUGACUGGGCGUAAAGGUUGCGUAGGUGGUUUAGUAAGUUGGCGGUGUAAUUCCGGGGCUCAACCUCGGCGCUACCGCCAAAACUAUUAGACUAGAGUGCAGGAGGGGUAAGUGGAAUUCCUAGUGUAGCGGUGGAAUGCGUAGAGAUUAGGAGGAACAUCAGGGGCGAAGGCGACUGACUGGACUGUAACUGACACUGAGGCACGAAAGCGUGGGGAGCAAACAGGAUUAGAUACCCCGGUAGUC
rnacentral:rRNA from 1 species